UUGAACUGCCCUGGAAUCUUCAUUCGUCCAGCAAUGGUUUAUCAUUGCUUGCAGAUAUAAAUGAAAUAACCUUAUGUAUCCUACCUUCUUAACUUCUUACCUACAACAGUGGCCGUUCCCAUCCUCAGAAUCAGUUCUCUUUUUAUUUUUCAAUCGGAUCGAUUAUGAUGGUACUGGUAUAUAAAAAAAUUGUUAUAUUAUUAUU